GUUAUUACCCGACUGCCAAAGAAGGAGGGUAAUGUUUUUCGAGUGUAUGUAAGUAUGUAUGUAUGUCUGUUCCUUUGUGACCUCCUGUAGCCUAAACGGCUUGAUGGAUUUUGAAGUAUGAGGUAUCGUUAGAUUUGUCUUGAUUACGGGAGUGUCAUAGGAUACAUUUUAUCCUAAAAGUCCCACGGGAUAUUUUUUCUAAAUUUCCCUUUAAAAAAAUAUGUAUGCGGUAUCAUUAGAUUCAUUUCAAUCACGGGAGUAAUUAAUAUAGGAUACGUUUUUUCUAAAAAUUCCCACGGGAACAUGUUAAUUCUGCGUCAACGCAAAGCAACUCAUGCGUUAGCAAGCAAAAAGCGAUUCUUUUGGCGAUACAAUCACGUCGUCUUGAUCAAAUGCAUGAACGUCGUCUUGAUCGUCUUGAACGUCGCAUUGGCGGUAAAUUUAUGUUGCGGAGUAACAUCACUCGUAAUCUAAAGCCAAAUGUCGUCGAAAUAAUUUAAAAUGGUACUUACAUAUACAUAGUCUUCUACAUCUACAACAUUUUCGUUAAAUAAAAACAGCUAAAAAGUUAUAAAUAAAAGAAUUAUUAUUAAAAAAACAAAAUACCCGACUGCACACUAAAAAAAGAGUAAAACAAGCCCCACAAUAAUAUUGAUCAAUACAACUUUACUGAAUAUAAUUUAUAAAUAUUGAUGGAAAGCAUCGCAGGCGGGGACCACCUUGACCGCCACCAACGAAAAUUCUGCUAAAUGGUGCACAACCCAAAUGACUAUAAAUGAGCCUCUGUUGGUCCCCGCCUGCGAUGCUUUCCAUCAAUAUUUAUAAAUUAUAUUCAGUAAAGUUGUAUUGAUCAAUAUUAUUGUGGGGCUUGUUUUACUCUUUUUUUAGUGUGCAGUCGGGUAUUUUGUUUUUAGGGUUCCGUACCUCAAAAGGAAAAAACGGAACCCUUAUAGGAUCACUUUGUUGUCCGUCUGUCUGUCUGUCUGUCUGUCUGUCUGUCUGUCUGUCUGUCUGUCAAGACCCUUUAUCUCAAGAAUGCGUGGACGUAUCAAGCUGAAAUUCACAUGAAGUACUCAGGUCUAUUGUCCCUUUAAGCUGUGAAAAUAUCAAACUUCUAAGCCAAGCCAAUCAAAAGAUACAGCUGAUUAUGUCGAUAUUUUCAACAAAUUUUCGACACUCGCAAAGGAAUCAAAACCUACAGGAUACUUCCCGUAAACUCAGAGUCUUGAAAUUUGGCAUGAAGCAUUGUCAUAUAAUGCAAAUAUAGGAAAAAUUACGAAAAUCUCAUUUUUUUAGUUAUAUAAUGUAAAAAAAAAUAUUUUAAUAAAAUGAAACUUACUACCUUAUUUCUCACGAACGAAUAAAGGUAUCAAAUUGAAAUU
rnacentral:lncRNA from 1 species